rnacentral:rRNA from 1 species
CCUCAGUAAUGGCGAAUGAACAGGGAUGAGCUCAGUAUGGAAAUCGGGGCCUGUGGCCUUGAAUUGUAGUCUCGAGAAGCAUUGCCAACGGAGGCGCAGAUGUAAGCCUCUUGGAAAAGAGCAUCAACGAGGGUGAGAGUCCCGUUUGUCAUCUGCAGUCCCCCGUGCACGGUGUGCUUUCUAAAGAGUCACGUUCCUCGGGAUUGGAGCGCAAAGUGGGUGGUAAAUUUCAUCUAAAGCUAAAUAUAGGUUCGAGACCGAUAGCAAACAAGUACCAUGAGGGAAAGGUGAAAAGGACUUUGAAAAGAGAGUUAAAAGUGCCUGAAAUUGCUGAAAGGGAAGCGAAUGGAACCAGUGUUUCUUGGCAAGAUUGGUGCGUGCUAUUGUGAUUGCCUGCUACUUCAGCGCAAGCGUUGUAGUGGGUUUUGAUCAUGACGUGCGUGUUGUUUCUUGCCUUGUGUGUCAACGUCAGUUCUCAAUCGAGGAAAACGCUAGGGACAUGGUAGCUUGCCUCCGGGUGGGUGAAUGUGCUUGGUUGAACUCAUUUGUGAACUGUUUCCUGCGUGUCUGGAUGCAUGUUCUGUGUCCUCAUGACUUUGAGGUGGGC